rnacentral:tRNA from 1 species
GUGAUCGUAGCUCAGUUGGUAGAGCCCCGGAUUGUGGUUCCGGUUGUCGUGGGUUCAAGUCCCAUCGGUCACCCCA